CAUCCGCGGCACUACUUCCGAAUCUAGACUAUCUACCAGAAAUUUAGGCUCAAACAACUACUCCCUCCGUUUGAAAUUACUUGUCGUAGAAAUUGAUGUAUCUAGACAUUUUUUAGUUCUAGAUACAUUCAUUUUUGCGAUAAGUAAUUUAAAACGGGAUUUUUGAUUUUUUGUCACCAAUUAUUUUGUACUUUGAUAAUUUGCCACUCUUUACAUUGUAAUUGAUCUGCUGCCACUCUUUACAUUGAACUUUGAUUUUUUGCCCUCUAUCAGAUGGGCCCCGCAUAAAAUGACCAGAAUGCCCGUGCUCCCAGAUCGUUGACCAGGAACAGGAGAGGAGCUCGGUCGCUCGUCUCAUCCCCUUCCUCUGGCCGGCAGCAACGCCAGGAGACCACGGCGGCUACUCAACGGCGUCGCGCUUGGUGGUCCUCGACGACCGACGGCCCUGGUCGUCCGCGGCGACUACAUCCCGGCGAGCUGGUCGCCGCGUUGCCGUGAUGUAAGCUGCCGCUGCGGCUCUGGUGACGACGGCUGCAGGGACGAGUCGUACAACACGGCGCCGACGGGCCGACCCUUCCCUUCGCCGCCUCGGACAGCAGCAACUCCUCCAUGGUGCGGAAGCUAUGCGUGUUCCUCUCCCGUUGACCCGUUCACCUGCUUGUGCAGGUCGUUCCGGUGGUCCUCGAGCCGCAUGGCUGCUGCCUCCAUGCAGGUCUUCGGCAGCAAGGGCCGCCGGCCUCGUACGGCUGCUGCUCCGCGACGCGUCUCUAGCUGCACCAUGCAGCCAGAGCCUGCAACUUUCUUUUCUUCUCCUUUUUGACAUUCUUAGAACCUGCAUCUUGAUUCAUCUCUUCUUUGCAUGGAUGGAUGCGUCAGUACGAACUGCAACUUGUGAUUCUAUGUUCAGAACAUCAAUUUGGACAAUAAUUAAUCAAUUCAUUACAUUAAUUGUUCCCUCGCCGGUGCUCCCUUUCCUGGCCGCCGCUGCUCCUUCUGCUUUUGCGGCUUGCCGCUGCUCCUCCUCUCUGUAGCACAGCCCUGGCGCCCACGCUCGUGUGCGCUUCUCCCGGCAACUGGGAGCCAGCUCACUCUUAGCAACGGGGAGGGCGCCACCUCUACACUGCUACCUGGAGACGCAUCGGCCUCCUUCGUGCCACGGGCGUCGGGUGGGCACGGGUUGGCUGUCAACCUUGUCAGGGGGCAGGGAGCAGCACGAGCAACAAGGACGGCGGGGAGCAGCACAGCUGUGCCACCAACGGCAUCUGGUACUCCGACGGCGGCGGCGAACCGGUUCACCCCCUCCCGAUUUGACUUCAACGGUGAAUUGGCUGGCUGCACUGGUCAAACUAGCACAAAAGGGUAGUUUCGUCCACUGUUUUAUAUGUCUAUUAUGUUAAUCAUUAGCAAGUAUUG